UACGUAGGGUGCAAGCGUUACUCGGAAUUACUGGGCGUAAAGCGUGCGUAGGUGGUUUGUUAAGUCUGUUGUGAAAGCCCCGGGCUCAACCUGGGAAUGGCAAUGGAUACUGGCAAGCUAGAGUGCGGUAGAGGGUAGUGGAAUUCCCGGUGUAGCGGUGAAAUGCGUAGAGAUCGGGAGGAACACCAGUGGCGAAGGCGGCUACCUGGACCAGCACUGACACUGAGGCACGAAAGCUGGGGGAGCAAACAGG
rnacentral:rRNA from 1 species